rnacentral:rRNA from 1 species
GACGAACGCUGGCGGCGUGCUUAACACAUGCAAGUCGAACGGAAGGGCCCUGCUUUUGUGGGGUGCUCGAGUGGCGAACGGGUGAGUAACACGUGAGUAACCUGCCCUUGACUUUGGGAUAACUUCAGGAAGCUGGGGCUAAUACCGGAUAGGAGCUCCUGCUGCAUGGUGGGGGUUGGAAAGUUUCGGCGGUUGGGGAUGGACUCGCGGCUUAUCAGCUUGUUGGUGGGGUAGUGGCUUACCAAGGCUUUGACGGGUAGCCGGCCUGAGAGGGUGACCGGCCACAUUGGGACUGAGAUACGGCCCAGACUCCUACGGGAGGCAGCAGUGGGGAAUAUUGCACAAUGGGCGGAAGCCUGAUGCAGCAACGCCGCGUGCGGGAUGACGGCCUUCGGGCUGUAAACCGCUUUCGCCUGUGACGAAGCGUGAGUGACGGUAAUGGGUAAAGAAGCACCGGCUAACUACGUG